rnacentral:rRNA from 1 species
UACGGAGGGGGCGAGCGUUAUUCGGAAUUAUUGGGCGUAAAGGGCGCGUAGGCGGCUUGACAAGUCAAAGGUGAAAUCCCUCGGCUCAACUGAGGAACUGCCUUUGAAACUGUCUGGCUUGAGGCCGGGAGGGGGUAGCGGAAUUCCCAAUGUAGCGGUGAAAUGCGUAGAUAUUGGGAGGAACACCAGUGGCGAAGGCGGCUACCUGGACCGGUUCUGACGCUGAGGCGCGAAGGCGUGGGGAGCGAACGGG